CAGCUAUCGAGGCAUGACGCAGGCCACUGACUCACCACGCCAGGCUGACUCACCUCCCAGGGCACAGCCUGGGGACUGUGCGGGCCCAGCCGGCGGAGCCCCAACCUGGAGAAGCCCGCUCGCCCCAGGAGGCCUCCAUUACCAGCGUCCGCCCCCACACCCCCGAAACCGGCUGCGUCUGCCCACGCUGCCACAGCCAUCGCAGAAUCACACGUGGAUGGCUUCAUUUCCCACCUGGGCCUGGGGGCCAAGGAUGCCUAAUUCCUGGAGCGGAGAUGGGUUGAGCCUAGAGAGCCCACCUGGGCUGACGGCUCUGGAAACACAUCAGUCAUGCUGAGCUGUGGGGACCAAGGGGGAGCCUGGAGAGAACGUGGCGCCGGAAACGGAAACGUCUGUGCGGACCAAGGGGGU
rnacentral:lncRNA from 1 species